AUUGAACGCUGGCGGCAGGCCUAACACAUGCAAGUCGAGCGGAGCGGCGGACGGGUGAGUAAUGCCUAGGAAUCUGCCUGGUAGUGGGGGAUAACGUCCGGAAACGGGCGCUAAUACCGCAUACUAUCAGAUGAGCCUAGUGCGGAUUGGCUAGUUGGUGGGGUAAAGGCCUACCAAGGCGACGAUCCUUAACUGGUCUGAGAGGAUGAGCAGUCACACUGGAACUGAGACACGGUCCAGAGUCCUACGGGAGGCAGCAGUGGGGAAUAGUGGACAAUGGGCGAAAGCCUGAUCCAGCCAUGCCGCGGGGGUGAAGAAGGUAUGCGGAUUUUAAAGCACUUUAAGUUGGGAGGCGUUACCAACAGAAUAAGCACCGGCUAACUUCGUGCCAGCAGCCGCGGUAAUUC
rnacentral:rRNA from 1 species